GACGUAGGGCGCGAGCGUUGUCCGGAUUUAUUGGGCGUAAAGCGCACGUAGGCGGCAUUGCAAGUCCCAUGUGAAAUCCCACGGCUUAACCGUGGAAGUGCAUGGGAAACUGCAGUGCUUGAGUACUUAAGAGGAUCGCGGAAUUCCCGGUGUAGAGGUGAAAUUCGUAGAUAUCGGGAGGAACACCAGUGGCGAAGGCGGCGAUCUGGGAAGAUACUGACGCUGAGGUGCGAAAGCGUGGGGAGCAAACAGG
rnacentral:rRNA from 1 species